rnacentral:tRNA from 1 species
UCAGAUAGCUCAGUUGGUAGAGCAGAGGACUGAA